CCCCUCUCAGACCCUGGGAGCACGUAUGACAGUCCUCCCUCUGGCCAAAAGAGUCAGCACCGGUAAAGAUGGCCUCUUAUACUGUGGCUGGCAGGAAGUGGAAGGGACCAACCAGGCGUGCCAGAGGGGAGUCUGCCUUCAGUUAACUUCAGUUACUUUAGGACUUUAAGUUUAUUUUUCUUGCCUUUGAUAGUUAGUUGGGUUGUAAAUAGUUUCUUGAUUUAAAUCGUUGUUGAGAUCAAGGUUAAUUUGUGUUAUAGAGUUAAUUAUUUAUUCCUGCCCCCCUUGUGUGUCUGUGUAGGCUAGCCGGUGUGUAUAUAAACCCCCCCAAAUGUGUCAUUUGUCAGAUCUGUUAUGUUCAGAACAGUUCAGUUUGCUGUUUGUUUAGUUGACCUCAAUUUGAGUUAAGGGGCCCUAGUUUUUGAAAUUACUUUCUUCUAGUUUUCCUAUUUUUGUAUUUUGAAAAAAUAAUUUGUUAAGUUGAAACUAAGUUGUAAAUAAAUUACUAAUUUUUGCUUUAUA